rnacentral:lncRNA from 1 species
ACGUGUGGACAGCCUCUAAAACUCCUUCUCGUGGACAUCUCUCCACCGAAAAACCCUCCCCGGCGGAGUGCUCACCUGCUCCGGACACCGGACACACGCUCUCACCGGCGAGACAUCCCUCCGGUUAGCCCGAAAAACACUGGCGCUUUUUAUUUCCAAGGACACAAAAUCGCCAUGACAGUUUAGAAAAAUGCAUAAAAAAUUAGCAGGCAGGGGAGGGAGGAGAGAGAGAGAGAGAGGGGGAGAGAGGGAUGGGGAGGUGAGGAGGGAGGGGAGGGGAGAGGAAGGAGGAGGAGGAGGAGGAGGGAGGAAAGAGGAGGAGGAGGAGUGGAACUCCGCGCAAUAUCUAUUUAAUCCACAUAAAGCCAGCAGCUCCUCGGAGUUCAUUCAGUCUGGAUGCCGGAGUCCUGCACUGUUUUGUCACCAUAGUCCAGUCUAGACACCACACUCGUUCACGCGCACGCACGUACACGCGUCCGCGUUCACAAAGACGAGCCGCAUCCAAAAGUUAAAGGACGCUUCUUACCUAAAAUGGCCACUGCAGCAGCCAAAACACAAACAGCUUUUUUUUUUUUUUUUAUUUGGUGGAAGUUUAGCAGCGGCAGCAGCGGCGGUGUGGCUGCUGCAGCCAGCCUAACCUUACCGUUCAGGUCCAGUAGCAGCUCAGCAUUUCAGAUUUUUCCAUUGGCUGCAGCCAGGCGCAGCUGGCUCCGUGCAUGUUUCCAUUGGCCCUGCAGCUGUCAAGCAAGCAAAGCGAGCGAGUCUCUCCCGGGUUUGUCUGAGAGCUAUCGCGGCAGCCCCAGGCAACACCAUUGUGCAUUGUGUGGUGGUGGUGUUGUUGUUCUUACCGCAGAGUUGCAGGGAAAUCCUUCUCGUACCGGGGGAAGCAGCUUCCCACCGCCGCACCGACCGGCUGCUGGAUCCUGCUGCUGUCAUUGAAGGAAGGAAAAAAACACACAUACACACACACACACACACACACACACAAGCGGGGAGCGUUCAGCUUUCAACCCCCCCGAUGCAACAAAACGAAGGGGUUUACAUUUCUCCUCUGCUGGCUGCAUCCACCAAUCAUAGCGCCUUUUACUCCUCCAUCAUUACCGGGUUUGAAGGGCGGAAGAAAAGAAAUAAGACAUUCCACGUCUUGUGCAGAUCAGGUUGCGUUUCCCGGAUGUUCAGCUUGUUUGCUGGAUUUAAAAUGUGCUUUUAUUUGGUGGAGGCCAUGUGAGUGUAGGGUGCUCCGCUUCUUUUAAAGAAUGAUUGUGAUUACUGCUCUGUGGGACGACUGACAACUUCUUCCCUGACUUCACCUACAAGCAUUCUGAGGGCUUCCAGCUUCACCAAUACACUGUUAGCAGCAUUAAACAAAUGUUUUUAUGAAUCAAAAUACACUUCUCCGCAUCACCAGGACACAGAGUAGGAUUACUUUUAGAAUUAGCCAUUAUUAAUAAUAAUUAAAGUGAUAAUAAAGAACUGCAGGGGAUGGCGUCA